GACGAACGCUGGCGGCGUGCUUAACACAUGCAAGUCGAACGGUGAACCUGCUUCGGUGGGGAGUCAGUGGCGAACGGGUGAGUAACACGUGGGCAACCUGCCCUCAGCUCUGGGAUAACUCCAAGAAAUUGGGGCGUAAUACCGGAUAUUUCCGCUGACCGCAUGGUCUGGUGGUGGAAAGAUUUAUCGGCUGGGGAGUGGGCCCGCGGCCUAUCAGCUUGUUGGU
rnacentral:rRNA from 1 species